AACCCUUUUUAAUAGGUAGUCCUGAGAGGCUGACAAAGGGGAGUAAGCUUAGACGAGUCAUGCCUUUAUAGGUAUUAUCAGGUCUUAAGCAAACCUCUUUGUGCACAAGACAAAGAGGUUUUUUAUAU
rfam:Bacillus sp. FJAT-27997 Scaffold1, whole genome shotgun sequence.